CGCCUCCUUUCUGACGCUCCGGCGCCAUGUUAGAAAGAAGAAGAGAAGCAGAAAAAGGAGGAAAGGGAGGGAGGAGUGGCUGUUGGCGGCGGUGUAGCGGGGCGGGGGCGGAGAAGGAGCGGCGUUGGUGGUAGAUGGCUCGGCGGGAAGGGCGCCUGUCUCGGUGGCGAGUGGGAGAGGCAUUGUUUAUUGCGUAGGGCGGCUUAAUGGCGGAGGCUUCGGCGGCGGGCGGCUGUGAGAAGGCGCCAGGGCCGCCUCAGCGGGCAGAGAGAAGCAGCAGCAGCAGCAACGACUUCCCCUCAGGAGCCGAAGCGGAGGCCUUCUCACAAAAUGGCGCCCGCCCUGAGAGGAGCCAAAGCGGCGACGAGGAGGCGGCGGCGGCGCUGCUGGACCUCCCGAAGGCCGCCUCCGCCGCCGACGACGUGCCUCUGAAGAGAAACUUUCAGAUCCCCAGGAAGAGCCGAGAAAAGAAAGCACUUUUUCAACCUCUAACAAAGGAAUCUCGUGAAUUUGAAGAUGUCAUGAACAUUUUGCAUUCGUCAUAUUUGGAAGUCCAUUCAAAGGACAAUUUCAUCUACAAGCAAGCUAGUUUGAUUCAUAAUGAACUUUUUGAAAAGGAAUUCAUAGAGAAACGAAGAGAGUUGAAAAGAGAUGGACGAUUGGAAAAAGAGCUGGUUGAAACCUAUGCAUUUCUGAAGGUUGACCGUGAAUUGGUGCAAAACAUAUGUGAAAAUGGAUUGCAGGCAGGCCAUUCUAAAAUAACUGUUCUUGGCAGCCCUUUUCGAGGUGUAUAUCUUUCUAAAUAUGCUGAUUUAUUGCAAGCUAAUCCUUUGGAUGGUAAAGCAACUGGUGAUAUUAUUAUAUUUAAAGUAAUUAAGGGGAGAACAAAAACUAUAUAUGAUAACUUGGGAGGAAAUCCAAUGGAUUCAAUUGUUAAAAAUGCAUUGGACCCUACACCAAAGUAUGAGUGCCAUAUUUCAAAGAAUGCAAACAGAAUUACUUCCGUUUUAACUUAUAGAGCGUUUGAACGCACACAGUAUUACUUUUAUGAAUACGGCUUUGAUGAGAUCAGACAAAGACCAAGACAUGUUUGUCCAUAUGCGGUUGUAUCGUUUUCUUGCAAAGGUGAAAAGGUACAGAAGUAUUUGCCCCAAGCAAGAUCAAAGAUUUCUAAUGUGGAUAAGAGCACUGAUAACACAAGUUACACCUUGUGGAAUGGGCAGCUUUUAAACAGAGGGACACUUGUAUGCCAUGCUGCUCUGAAAUCAGAAACACGGCCGUUGCUUCCAUGCAAACUUCCUGAAAAACUUGAUGUUGACAUGGUUAUGAGCAUUGAACACUUGAAGCAACGUUUCUCAACACGUGCCCUGCAGAAAGAAGCGUAUUCAGGAGAAAGGGAAGAGUUCAGGAGUGGAAUGUAUUGCAGUCUUUAUGAAAUCGUGGAAAAGACAAGAUCAGGAAGUAAUUUGGAAGGAUUACUACAAAAGCUGGAGACAGACAAACUAGUCAUUGUAAAACCACUUGUAGAUGGAGGGUAUUUAUUGCUGCUUUCUCCACAUCAGAUGGCUUCCCCAUAUGAGAACCGAACAGGAAAUCCUCGUACCUUGCAAGCAUUGUUUCUGUUUCGGAAUCCUAGAUGUGUUGUGACUUCAGCACACAAAAAUGAAAUGAAAAAUGAAAAUACAUCAAUAUUACAGGAACCACAUGUGGUUAUGCCCGAAUUUACAAGAUUUAUUCAAUCUCUGCAUUAUGCUUAUGUUAAUUCCCGUAAAGAUCCUAGGUCUGACUUAAAUACUACGGUGGAAAAAUACAUAAAUGAUUAUCUGAAACGUUAUAGUAAAUAUAAAGAAUUUGUUUUAUUUGACUAUAAAGAUACCUUGGAUGAGAAAAAGCAUCUAUAUCCAGCCCCCAAAAAUAAAUCCCACAUUGACAGUUCCUUGCGUGCCUAUAUUUUUGGUUCUGAUGCCUAUCAGAUGCCUGUUUCUAAAGCCAAAAAAUUAAUGGAUGGUUAUCAAAAACCUCAGCAGUUCAGUCCUGUUUCAGAUUGUGAAGCCCCAGAAGAAGAGUCUGACUACACCAAGAGAAAAGCCAAGAAAAGGAACAAUUCUAAAAGUGAAGAAAUAGCCGCCAAGAGAAAGCCUAAUCAUCCUAGGGAUUAUGAUCAAGAAAGUAUAAAAGAACUAAUUAAUUUAAUUCAUAGAAAGAAGAAAAACAUAGAUAACGAUUCUGAUACAGAAGAUAGCAGAAUUGAAAACCAAUUGAAACGAAAGCUGGAAGGUGACAGCGCACCAGAAACACUUCAUUCAAUGAUAGCUGAUCUUGGUGGACAUGAUACUGAUCUGAGGCAGCAAAACAUUUCUGAGUCUCCAGUUCCUGACUCAUCUUUAUUAAUGCUUCUUUCAAAGAUUCUCAGUAAUCCAGAAUUGCCAUCGACAGGAUUGAUUAAACAACCUUCCCCAGAAAAUUAUUCAGACCAAGCUGGUGACAUCAAACCAAUUGCUGUACAGAUUAAAGAAGAACCUCAGUUUCUUGUUACUGCACAUGUUGAGAAUACUCAUUUGAUGGAUCCCCAAAGUCCGGUCAAGCUGGAAACAAAUGUGCUAUGUUUGCCUUACUCUGUUGAUGUCUCUAGUUGUGAAGCAGACACCACUAAUCAUAUGCGACAUUUAAAAGACAUAAGCACGGGAAGUGUAAGUAGCUUUGAUGGUUGCAGCAGCCCAUGUUCUAAUACACCUCUUGAACAGAGCUAUCAUAGGCAGAAUUCCAGCUCAAAUAGUAUUUCUACAACUGGCAUAAAUUGGAAACUGAUGCCCAUUAUAGGAGGGGCAGGAAGAGUUCCUGAGGAACAACUGAGAAUGCAUGGCGAUAACCAAACAGGCUUGAAAUCUCGAGAUGAAUUGUUUGCUUAUUCACCACCAAAGGAUGCAUCUGAAAAUGAUCCACGUGCAAUAAGUAGGCGAAGAAAUUGUGAUUAUCCAUCUACAUGCUCUGCAUUUUCAGACUCACAAGAGGGAAGAAUAGAAGAUGAAGUAAAUAUAGAGCAAGAGACAAAAUUUGAAGAACAGCUUGAAACUGAGACAAAUUACUGUAUGUCAACUUCCAUAAAUGGACUAAUAGAAACAGCAAUAUUAGAAGAAUACACUCUAUUUACCAGCAAAAUUCAGGAGAUGUUGAAGCAGAAGAAUAUUAUUUAUGCCAGUAGAAUAUCCAGACCUGUUAUUUCAGCCCAGGAAAGGGUUAUGAGACUUUCUGAAUAUAUAUGUUUACAGGCAUCGGAUAUUGCUGUCCAAGAAUAUGUAGAAAGACUGAGUGAAAACCUCAACAACGUUAUUUUGACAUCUUCAUGUGGCAUCCAAAGUGUUCCCAUUACUUGCAGUUCUGAACUGGUAAAUGACUCAGAUGAUACAGAAUUGAAUCUGCCAUCAGUAGAGAUUGUGCCUCUCUCAGGCGACCUUGACAUGGAGCAAUUUCCAGAGCCACCAUGCAGCAAGGUGGAAGGAGAUUCAUUCAUUGAUGAACAGGAUCACUUAAAAACCUUUGACACAGGAAAAGAACACAGCCCACUGAGUGCCAACAUGGAAAUGAAGUUGGCAGCAGAACCAAAUGUCUGUAGUGCUGACCCUGUGCAGCAGACAGAUAAGGUGUCGAAGGUGGCAGAUAAUUCAAAGGUUACAACCAAGACGGCUGUGGUUGGCCUUAUAAGCCAGUUAAAACCUGAAGUAUUUGACAGUAUUGUCAAAAUAAUGCAAGAUGUACAAAAAAACACUGUGAAAUUUUACAUCUAUGAAGAGCAAGAGAGCACACUUUGUAAAGAAAUAAAGGAAUAUCUUACUAAAUUAGGUAAUACAGAGUGCCAUCCUGAGCAGUUUUUAAGAAGAAGAGCUGAUUUGGAUAAAUUGCUUAUUAUUAUUCAAAAUGAAGAUAUUGCCAAUCUAAUUCAUAAGAUACCACGUUUAGUAACUUUGAAGAGGCUUCCAUGUGUCAGCUUUGCUGGUGUUGACAGUCUGGAUGAUGUAAAAAAUCACACUUACAAUGAAUUAUUUGUUUCUGGUGGCUUCAUUGUCUCUGAUGAAUCAGUUCUCAAUCCGGAAUCUGUGACAGUUGAUAAACUUAGUAGUUUUCUGAAAUUCCUCGAAGAGCUUAGUACUCCUGAUGGAAAAUGGCAGUGGAAAGUUCACUGCAAAAUACAGAAAAAAUUGAAGGAACUUGGAAGAACAAAUGCCAAUGCCACUAGUUUGCUGACGCUUCUGAAUACGUAUCAAAAGAAGCAUAUGGUUGAAAUCCUGUCGUACCAUAGCUGUGAUUCUCAAACUCGGAAUCCUCCAGAAUUAGACUGCCUUAUAAAACUUCAAGCUCAGAAUAUACAGCAGAGGCACAUUGUCUUCUUGACAGAGAAGAAUGUGUUAACAGCCUCUUGUGCUGAUAACGGAAUAGUGGUCGCUUCGUUGGAUUUGUUCAUGCAGAAUUUUAAAAGUCUUGUUGGAUACCAUAACCUGAUCACUGAUGAAAACUGCCUUCCUCCCCCAGUUGAUCCUGAGAGACAGUCAGCAAACCAGUUAGCACAAAUAGGCUCAGAAGACAUACUAGUCACCUAAUCCUUCACUGGUACUACAUUCAAACCCCAGAGAAAGUUUCAAUGAAAUUCAAACAAAGAAAGAGAAAAGAACUGGAUGCUAAAGGACAAGAUGAAAAAAAACUAAUGAAGAAAUAAAAAUAAAAUAUUUAUGAAAUUAUGAGACCAACUUGGAAAUACCAACUCAUGAAUCCAAUUCAUACGUACCUGCCGUAGUUCGGAAAGUCCUUUUAGUAUGGCCUGCUGCCUGUCUCUCACCACAUUUGGAUUAAAAAGUGGGUCCCGGACGUGAUCGGAGCUAAAAGUCUGCCGUGGUGUAUAGUAAACAUCUAAGGUAUCUACCGUUCAGCUGGUGAUACUGUGGAUCAUGUGUUGAAGGUCUCGUCAUGGGUGCAUCUGGAUCAAGGUAAUAUACUUCAUUUGUUCGCACAUAGGGGACAAAAUGAGAUGAAGGUGGCCUUUCAGGUGCAAAAUUUGAAGGUCUUUCACUCUGAUGCUUGUUUAUAGUGAUACUUUUUUCUCUUCCAUCAUUUCUAUCAUGAGUUGAGAAAUCAGAAGUCUUCGUUUGUUGCUGUAAUCUGUUUUUAACUGCUGGGACAGGGGGUGAGUCAGAUCUAUUUAAAAACAAGAACAACUCAACUGUUUAUUCUAUUUGUUGAAUUACCUUCAACAAAAAUACUGAGAUCUAAUUCCAAGAACUUGAAUAUACCCAAGCCACGAUUUUAAAAAUACUGGCUUUGUGCUUUACCUUACCUGAGCGUUCAGUGCUGUGCUGUACAGCUGCUUACCACAUAGGCAAAAACAUUACCUAUAGUUAAGCAAAUUAUAUUGCAUUUAUAUCCUCUGAGGAGCUCAAAGACAAUUUAUUACUAGUCCCUUCCAUUUCAACCUCACAACAUCUCAAUGAAGUAGUUGAGAAUAAGAAAAAAGGCUAGCAUUUGGCUUCAUUUUAGUCAAUGGAAUGCAUCAUUAAAUUUAAAAAAACUUAAUUAAAUAAAAAAACUGUCUUCAUUAUGUUUACCAUUUUAAAGUAUUGUGUUUUACACUAAUAUAUAUUGGAUUAUAUCGUGCAAGACAUAUUUUGAUCUCUGCCAUGAUUAAAAACACUAGAUUUUUCAUCUUUUUAUUUUGUGCCUUUAAGACAAUUUUUGAUAAACCAGAAUUCAGUUGUGAUGCUUUUGAAACUAAUUUCUAAAAAGUAAAGAAAGUCUUGAUCUUGUGAACGUAUCAAAAUUCACUAAAUAAAUUGAGCUGAUACCUACCUUAGUUCAACCAAAUUGUUUUUCAGAAGUGAUUCUUCCUAAAAUAAGACCAAAAUAAAUAAAUAUAUGACAAAGCAUUUCUCACCAUUUUGUAUUUUGUAAAUAAUACUUCAUAAUUUAAAGGAAAGAAAAAGCAAGCUGACUUGGGGGUGUUAUCACAUAAAUGAAAUGUUGGAAGUUAAGUCAUUUUAUGGUGAUUGUGUUGAUGUGAGUACUGUGUGUUGUUGGGCGAGUAAGUUUAAAGAUGUUGAGGUGGGAACAUCUGACUUGCGUAACAAACAAAGAGUUGAAUCUUCCGAUAGCCAAGCAAAGCAAUAAUGUGACCCACACGUUUUUGUGAAAUGCUGAUUAUGCUUGAAAUUUCUUUCUGAGUGAUAUGACAAUCGUCCUGAAUCAAUCUGUCAAACUUUUGCUUGUGAUACUCGGUGGUUGCUGUCACAGGACGUCCAACUCUUUGUUUUUCAUGCAAGUCAGAUGUUCCCACCUCAACAUCUUUAAACUUACUCACCCAACGACGCAGAGUACUCACAUCAACACAAUCACCAUACACAGCUUGCAUUCUCUGAUGAAUCUCCUUUGGGGUGACACCUUCUGCUGUCAAGAAUUAAAUGACUGCACGUUGCUUAAGUCGCAUUGACUAACCAUCUGCACAGGGUUCCAUACUUUGCACUUUAACAACACAACCGUUCAAUGCUAAGGCUUCCCACCAAAUGGAACUGUAGAGGAGAGUCUACUGAACAAGCCAGUACCUGCCGCAUACCUGUACUGCCAUCUGUUGAGGAGUUAAUGAAGGAGGUGAGACGAAAACGGAACAGGGCCCCACUGAAAGCUGGAACAUGAAACGGGACAAGGUAAGUCCCGAAUGCACACCAAUAAUAAAUACCCCUUUUUAUGUCUUUUUAAUGAACAUGCAUACCUGUCUGCACAGCGGUGUCUUUUCGAGGAGAAAGAACAGUUUUGACAUCAUGGUUCACUAUGCUGCGACUGCCUUCACAAAAGUCAUCAUGGUGAUCAGUGACAUUCAGUAAGCCAUCCAGAUCAGUACAGUAACUCUCAUAAUUUAUAUCACCUACGGGAAAAAAGUAUUCACAUGUUCCUAAGUCUAGGGCUCUACUACAUAUUAGUUUAACACUGAAUUCACACAUUCAUCCAUUUCUAAUGAUUACGUGGGAUUAAAGGGUUGGGAAUGAUGUGUUGGUACUUACCAUGAAUAGUUGGGUUACAUCUCCCCAUUCAUCAAGUCUUCAGGGUGAAGCACUAGGAAGUAAUCGAUAAUCACAUGGGAGUAUAACCUAUGUGAUUAUGGAUCACUCCUCUGCACAUUAACACAGUUAAAGAUAAGGAAAGACUCCCAUUUGUGUGAAUUACAGAGACCAUGAAGAAGGAGGACAGCUAGCUUACUCCUAACUGUAGUUAGAUGACCACUUAAAGAACUAUAGUUACAAGUAAGCUACCCCACCUUCUUCAUGGUCUCUUAACUCAUACAAAUGGGAGAUUAGCAAACUACUCAACUUUCCAUAGGAUUCUGGAGUGCCAUGAGAAACAAGAAAACAGCAGAGCUCUCCUGAAGGCGUUUUCAGCCCCGGUCCUUGUAUCAGUUCUGUCCCAAGAAGCCCUUUGAUACUUGAGAUCUGAAGAACUGCAGUGCACAUAUACAUCAUUAUGUUCAAAAUUGUUUGUAAAAACUUCCAAUUUUAUCCCAGAAACCAAGGACAAUACCAGUUUAGAUUUCAAUUUCUAAAUACAGUAGAGGUCUGGUUAACCGACUUUCGGUGAUCUGACCUAUCGUAUUAUCAGAUGUGCUUGCCAGAGGGAUGAGCCUCUUCCCUUCGGCAAGCACCCACACUUUGGAGAAGCCUGGUGCAUGGUUGUUGUAUGUUUUCCGGGCUGUAUGGCCAUGUUCCAGAAGUAUUCUCUCCUGACGUUUUGCCCACAUCUAUGGCAGGCAUCCUCAGAGGUUGUGAGGAUGCCUGCCAUAGAUGUGGGUGAAAUGUCAGGAGAGAAUACUUCUGGAACAUGGCCAUACAGCCCGGAAAACAUACAACAACCCUGUGAUCCCGGCCAUGAAAGCCUUUGACAACACAGCCCGGUGCAUGUUGCUAAACAGUAACAUACACCGGGCUUCCCUAAACUGGGUGCUUGUGGAAGGGACGAGACUCUUCCAUUCAGCAAGCACCCAGCUUGCUGAGAAGGAUAAUAGGACCUUCCUAUUAUCCUAAAGUUUCGGUUAUCCAACAUUCCGCCUGACCAUUUAUGUCGGAUAACCGGAACUCUACUGUAUUGUUUUCUAUUUAUUUGAUAAUGCCAUCAAGGUAUAAGGUGUUUUACAAAGUGCAACAAAAUUCAUGAACCUAACAUCUAAAACUCAACAAAGGGAAGACACUGGAAGUGGAAGCCAAGUGUACAAAUUCCGGGGAUCCACUCACUUCCAAGCUAACUAAAGGUCAAAGAUCUGUCAAAAUGAAGCAAUUAUCACAGAUACACCAAAAUAAUAAUUUACUGAUAACAUGCAGAUGUUAAGGAGAAUACAACAAUAAAAUCUAAACAAAGGCAAAGGUGAAGUUAGCUCACAACUCUUCAUCUGACUGAAACUGUUCUUCAUAAACACUGCUGUUCACCUGAAGAACAAAAUACUGCCCCAACAACCAGGGCUCCUGGGCUGGGCUACAGUCAAGAAUACAGCCAAGCCAGUGGCUUGGUUUUUCCUGAACUUUUAAUAUUCCUAUUUCCCUUGUUCUGAAAAGUGCUGAUAUUUUCUGAGAGGUUGGAUUACUCUAUCCUAACAAGGGAACAGCUUCUCAGGUAUUAUGAGAUAAAAAUAAUCUUAUCUAUAUCUACAGCAUGAGUUGUCCUUCCAUAGGCUGCAGGAGAAACUGCAAUCCUUGAAAGCUGCAUUAUAUGCUAUCAACUGCUUGAUUAACAAUUAAAUUACAGUUAACAGUGUUUAGUAUCCCUUAGCCUUAUAAAGCCCAUGUAAAAAUUCUUAUUAGAAGAUAAGAAUCUCUGUGUGACUUGGGUUUAUUGUGAAGAAGUGACCCAACUAAAAGCCUGUUACUUACUGCUACCAAUAUUCUUUUGUAGUUUAGAAGUAUCAUGUCCCUUUUCAGCCAACUCUUUAAUGCGUUGUUCCUGUUUCAAUCUCUGGGCCAGCUCUUGAGCUUUCUGCAUUGUCUGAUAUAGCACAUUUGUUUUAAGAGCCAUAAUUUCCUAAGGGAAUAAAAUAAAGACAGAAAAAAGAACAUUUAGCAAAAAACCCAUACAUUUAUUUAUUUAUUUAUUUCAGUUAUUUAUACCCCGCCCUUCUCACCCGAGGGGACUCAGGGUGGCUUACAAGUGGCAAUUGAUGCCGUUACACUGAUAUACAAUAAACUAAAACGAUUAAAACAGUCAUAAAAUAGUCAUAAAAUACAAUAUACAAAGUUUAAAACAAUGCAAAGUGCUUAUGCCAUUCAUCCACCAGACCUUAUACAAAGUAAAUUUUUUAAAAUAAUUUUUGACACUAUAUUGAACACUACUUAUUCGAUUUACAUAUUAUUUGCAUAACAGAGAAUAUAUUUGGGUUACACAAUCAAUAUGUAAAAUGUCCUUUUAGAUAUUUCUGCGUAGAUGUAUAUUAAGUACAACCAGCCUGAAACAUCCUCCUGCAGAGUUUCCCCUUGAACUGCCAUGCUAUCUGAAGUGACAUGAACAAUAUUCCUUAGUAAAUUCCUCUUGAAUGCUCAAAAGCCUUGAUUAUGGUGAGAAGCUCCACCAUUUUAUUGAUGUGAAGCUAGGACCCUUAGUAUGACCAAUCACCCUGAAAUGUCAUGCUCCCCAACCUAUUAAAGUAAAUGUAGUAACCAUGAGGAUAGAUCUGGAGAUUUGAAUGACAUGCCUUAAAGGAGGUUUGAACAUAUUAAGAUACCUGUGGAAGUAUGGUUAAAUUAUUGUACUGGUAAUCUUGUGAAGGACUGAAUUGUUUAAGAAAUCAAUGCUGGUGAAGUCAGAAUUAGGGACAUGCCAGAUAUGAAACCAUCAAGCCCAACUAUCUUUAUACUGCGAUGCUGUUUGAACCCUAUAUCUAUGGGUCUCUGGGAAAUUAAGUUUUCUCUAUGACUGACUCCAACAUUGCCCCCAUGGAAUCUCUCUCUCUCUCUCUCCCUUCCCUCCCCAAACUUCCUUUUUAUAAAACAUUUCCAAAUAAAACAUUUCCAAAUAAAACUUGUGCCUGAUUUAAACAAGUGGUUGUGUGCUUUUGGCUGUAUUAUGCACACAGAGAUCACACUAGCGCUAGAAAAUGCUGCCAAGGCAAGUUGUGGCUGGGUGAAAAAAAUGUUGCGAGCUUUUGGUUCUAUGCACACACAGUAUACAGAGAGCAAUGUAGCCCACGCAGUAACCCUCAAAGAUUCUCGAAAAUUAAGCAAAAAUAUAAGACACUUGUAAGGCAAAAAACACCCACCCACCCUAAAAAAGAAUAAGCAAGUCCCUGCCUGUCAGUGCCUGUCUGUGUCUCCAUGGCAUGCAAAGCUUCUCUCUCCUUUUCUUUCCCCAGUGUGAAGAGUCAGCCUGAACUGACUCUGAACUGAACUGACCCUGUGUCCUAUGCCUGCCUGCCUGCCUGGAAAGCUAACCCAGUGUGGAGCUCCUCUCUCUUUCCCUUCCCAAGCGCGAGUGGAGGGUGUGGCAAGGUGCUGGGGAAUUUAAAGAGCAAUGGCCACAGACCCGCCUCCUCAGCCCCCCCCCCCCCCAGCCCUGUUUGGCUGAGAGGCAUGGCAACCUGUUUGGAUUUGCCUCCCGGUAGUGCUUGGUUGCUCCGUGAAUUUCGAUUCUUAAUUUUUUGGCGUGGACAAUGCCUGUGUGUUGGAUAUCACGUCAGAGGUACAAAUCUAAUGAAUUUGAUGCGACUUACAACAAGCUACAAAAAAAUGAACAGCCCUAAUAUGCGUUCAUACAUACAUACAUAUAUUGGAGUUAUUGUACACUUAAAAAUGUACCUGUUCCAACUUACAAAUUCAACUUAAGAACAAACCUAUAGAACCUAUCUUGUUUGUAACUUGGGGACUGCCUGUAUGUGUCAGAUUGCUCACUUUAAUUACUUCCACAAAAUGCUAUAAGUUGCUGACCUCUUUUUGCUUUUGUUUGAGCAGAUCUUCUUCAAACUGCUUCUUCAUCAGUUCUUGUUCUUUGGCAAGCCUUUGCUCUUCUUCCUGGUCUUCCUGUUUCCUUUGCUCCACUUCAAGUUGUUUCUGCUUCCGUUUUUCUUCUACUUGUGCCAUUAUGGCUUUCUAGAAAAAUUAAACACACAAUGAAAAGAUUUUAAUAAUUACUGAUGAUAUUAUAACCAUUUACAUACAUAUAAAAAGAAAAAUGUUCUAAAUCCAAGACCCUCUUUGAAUAUCUUUUAUUAGGUUUUUUCUUUUACAUAAAAAAACUCUGAACUAUUGAUUACAUUUUUUGCAUUUUAUCUGAUAGACAAACAAAAAAUAUUUUUGUAUCCUCUUCAAGUUAAAUAAUUGUAAUAGUCUUGAAAGCGGGUCUAUAAAAACACGUUCAAACCCAUAUCCAGAUUCAACAUUAACAGCACCUAAUAAAAAGCAUUUUUGGUACUGUCAAUUUAAGCAAACCUUCUAGAACAGUGGUUCUCAACCUAUGAGUCUCCAGAUAUUUUUGCCUUCAACUCCCAGAAAUGCUAACAGCUGGUAAACUGGCUGUGAUUUCUGGGAGUUAUAGACCAAAACACUUGGGUGCCCCUAGGUAGAGAAUCACUGUUCUAGAAUCUUGUGCCAAUAAUUCUGUUAGUUUUGCUUAAUAUCUCUGUUUUCUAGGCCUUUUCUUCCAAAGUCCUAGACAAGAAAAUGUGUAUAGAAGUGUACAUGUGUGAAAGAAGGAAGUACUAUGGAACGUGAGGUAAACAUGGCAACAAAAAUACAGGGUAAAAAACCUGAAAUUGCAAGACAUAGUUUGGUUUCUAAAAUUAACACACAGGCAGUCCAUGAGUUACAAAUAUUAGACUGGCAAACAACUCACAGUUAAGAACGGGGGUGAGACAACAGGAAGAAAGAAAAAUAUUCCCCUCGGAAAGGAAAUUCACUCUUGAAAGAGUUAUCAUGGGGAAAUGGUGUCUCCACUGAAGCUUUCUCACCAAUCCUUGUUUCCACAGCAAACCAAAUUUUUCCAAAACCAAUUAUCACAGGGACAGAAAAUGUGGUGAAAUCUUAUGAACAGGGGCAUAAGCAACAAAACAAACUCCACAGUGGUAUUAACCCUUCCGUAUGCUAUCCAAAGAUUCAAAAUCUAUAUUUUUGGCUGGAUUAAAAAUGUACUUCUUCUGGCUUACAUACAAAUUCAAUUAUGAGCAAACCUAUAUAACUUAUCUUGUGUGUAAUUUGGGGACUGCCUGUAUUUUGAUUGCUCAAGAUGACUUAACUAAACGUUGAAGGAAAAACGGUAGACCAAAUAUAUCUCUGUGUAUUCCUUGCCUAAGAAAACCCUUUCAAAUUCAUGAGGUCACCGUAAGUAGAUAGGCAAUAUAUACACAUAUACUGAAACUCACACCUUCACUGUCAGGAUACUGACAUAAUCAACUGAAAAUUAUUCAAACUAGAAUAAGAGACUGUAUAAUGACACACACAAAAGCUUGUCUACAGUAAGCUUUAAAUACACAUGAUAAAAAUUAAGCAAGCGACAAUGCUCCAAUGAAUAAAGCCUUACAUCCCCCCCCCCCCCCCCCACAGGAGUGCUAUUCCUCACAGCCCUUAUGGCAAUCCAAGUUUAGCUAUAUUGCUACAUCACUUUUCUUGUUACAUUCUGCAUUUUGUCAAAUGUUAAUGUUUUCUCUAUCUCAGUGGAAAACAGCGAGUAAAAUAAAAAACAACACUGUAUUAGACAUUACUGAUUCUACCUGAUGUUCUAAUUGCUUUUGACGUCGCCUCUCUCUUUCCUCAAUUUGAGCAGGAUCCAAAAGGGCAGUCAUUGAACGAAGGAAACUAGGAACAGAAUAACAUCUGGGUGAUAUGAUCAAUUAAAAAUAUACAUAAAACUGUUCAUAAAAAAAGUCUGUAGCAUUUCAGCACACCAGCUAUUAUACUACUUUCAACAAUUUUCAUGUAUGCAAUUUUGCAUUAAUACAAGUCCAAAGAAAAUUAUCUAAUUUUGUACAUAAAUAAAGAACAGUAACUGAAACCAAAACAAACUGUUCAACACAAUCUCCAAGAAUAGCCUUGCAGAUUAUAAUGCUAAGGAAAUAACAGCAGUAAUCAGACAGGGAAAUUCACCUGGCUUUCUGACUUGACUCUGAAAUAUUGCUUCUAGAUGUUUUUCCAGAAACCUCAAUCUCUGUAGGUGUCGAAUGGCAUGAAGUUGUAGGUGUGAAAGCUGUUUGUUUCUGAACCUCAGGGGGAAGAUGUAAAGCUUCAGCCUGCUUUUUAUAUGUUGAAUUUAAUGGACAUUGUGAAAAACUGUUAGCCUGAUUCCUGAAAGAAUCAAAAUGCAUUGUCCACUUGUCAUGUUCUUCACCCUAUAAAAUGUGAAGCACAAUAUAUAUAAGCUUAUGCCAAUUUUUUCUACCAAAUUAUAUGAAGCAGCCAACACCAUCUAUAUAUAUAACAGGGUAAUGAAAUUUCAGCCUAGGACAAAACAACAAAACUAAACACCCCACAACCUCGAAAAUUGACAGCACAACCCCUCAUCCAUGCCUCAAGUACAAGACAACAAAAAGAAAAGAAAAAUAAAGUCCUAAUCAGAGGGAGAGAAAUAAUUGUUUUUAUCCAAUUGCUGCCAGUUAGAAGGCUAAGCUCCACCCACUUGGUCUCCUAGCAACCCACUCAGCCCAGGAGACAGGCAGAGAAUAUCUACCGAGAAAGCAGUCACUAAUGAAAAGACCAAGGCAUUGACAUCCCUGGCCCAUCCUCUGUUUGGAUACCAGCCAGCAUGGCAACGUCAAGAAAUAGCUUUCUAAGAUCUACAGAGAUACCUGCAGGAACACCUCAGCAAGCGAGAGUCCAAAAGUGGCAGGUUAAAACCCAGAACUUCAAUCAGUGGCUAAUACCGAAUGUGCCACAUGCACAAUGGAGGACCUUCUUACAGCGACACCAGAGGCACUUGAAGUGGCCAGCUUGUGGUCAAAGGAAAUUCAGUAUAAUGCAAAGUUUUUAACUUUUGUUUGUGGAUUUUUAAAUACAUUAUAACUAUAUUCUAAAUUCACUUCUGACAUGAUAAAUAAAUAAAUAAAUAAAUAAAUGUAAAUAUCAGGAUUUGAAUGUUUACAUUCACUGGACAAUACACAAAAAAAUUAAGUGCUCAUAAGGAAAGCUAGAAAAGCUUUGUAUUUCUUAGUAUGUAGUUACUAAAAGACCGCAUUACCCCGCAUGUCUAGCAUUAUUGUCAAUAAAACCUUAGAGAAAGUAUGCCUGGCAGUUUGAGGACUCAGCUUAUAUAACCCUUCAACUACAGAUAUCCUUCUCACUCCUUGAAGAAUGGGAUAUAAAGGAAAACAAGGAUACUGUGAAGGAUAGAGUGUACACCCCUCCCUUUCUCUUUUACAAGCCAGCAAACUAAGGAGCUUAUACAUACGGCCAUAUAUGUGGAGUUUGUUCCCAAAAGGUACCAAAUUUCCCCCUCUAUAACUAAAAUGAGUUAUAGAUGGCAGCACAAUGUUGGCUAGUAGAAGAAUAUUACGGACAGAUCAAAACUAUUGAAGUAUAUCAAAUCACUUUGGAAAAUGUAAUUUUAUAGCAAAAUAAUGCAUAUCCUCAGGACAUUUUUUCCGAUUCCUGAAAAAUUUCUUCAGAUGGAUUUGGUACUCUUUGGAAACAAGCUCCAUAAAUUUCUCCUCUUCCAAGUAAUUGUGUUAGCUGGAACAGAGUGAUAGGCAUAUGGCAAAGAUUUCUUAUUGUAAAGGUACACAGAUACAUAUAUAAACAGAAUGCAAAUGGUAAGAAGGAAUACAAGAAGGAAUUUUAUUACUACACAUUUUAUAUUGUACUAGCUGUGCCCAGCCACGCGUUGCUGUGGUGAAGUAUGGCGGUAUGGGAAAUAAAGUAUUGAGGAGUUGGUGGUAGUUAAGAUAAAGGGCAAAGGUUUCCCCCUGACAUUAAGUCCAGUCGUGUCUGACUCUAGGGGUUGGUGCUCAUUUCCAUUUCUAAGCAGAAGAGCUGGCGUAGAUUCCUCCAAGGUCAUGUGGCAUAACUGCAUGGAGCACUGUUACCUUCCCGCCGGAGCAGUAGCUAUUCAUCUACUCUCAUUUGCAUGUUUUUGAACUUCUGGGUUGGCAGAAGCUGGGGCUAACAGUGGGGGCUCUCUCCGCUCCCCCAAUUCAAACUUCUGGACCUUAUGGUCCAGAAGUUCAGUAGUUCAGCGCUUUAACACGCUGCGCCAUCAGGGGAUAUUAUUUCCUAAAGCUUGUGAAUAUACAGUAUUUCUGAUUGUGGUUUUUUUUGUCUGUUGGAGGCAAGUAUGAAUGCUGCAAUUAGGCAAAAUGAUUAGCAUGUAAUGGCCUUGCAGCUUUAAAGCCUGGCUGUUUCCUCACUGAGUGAAUUUUUUGUUGAGAGGUGUUAGCUGGCCCUGAUUGCUUCCUAUCUGGAAUUCCCUUGUUUUCAGAGUGGUGUUGUUUGCGAUAUUUUAUGUGCUUCUACUGUCUGUGGCCCUGAGAAAACAGAGGAUAUGCCAGACUUUGAUGAUGGGAAUACUUUGUUGGGAGGUGUUAGCUGGCCCUGAUUGUUUCCUGUGUGAAAUUCCCCUAUUUUUAGAGUGUUGCUCUUUAUUUAGAGUUCUGUUUUUAGAGAUUCUCUUGUUCUGUUUUAUCAUACCACAGUAAUUUUUAUAUAUUCUGAUUUUAGUGUUUUUGAAUACUUGGAGCCAGAUUGUAUUCAUUUUCACGGUUCACAGCAACACAACAACAACAACAACAACAAUAAUAGCAAUAAUAAUGAUUUUGGUAAUGCACACUGCUUCAUUCCCUUCUCAGCUUCCUUUCUGGAAGAAUCCUUUCUUGGGAGGUGUUAGCUGGCCCUGAUUGUUUCCUUUGUGGAAUUUCCAAUUUCCCUGCUUUCAGAGUCUUGCUCUUUAUUUACUGUCCUGGUUUUAGAGAUUAUAUUAGUCUGUAUUAUUGUAUCACAGUAAUUAUUUCAUAUUAUAGUAGAAUCUCACUUAUCCAACAUUCGCUUAUCCAAUGUUCUGGAUUAUCCAACACAGUGUGCCUUUUAGUAGUCAAUGUUGUAGUAGUCAGUGUUUUAAAUUCAUUGUGAUAUUUUGGUGGUAAAUUUGUAAAUACAGUAAUUACUACAUAGCAUUACUGCGCAUGGAACUACGUUUUCUGUCAAAUUUGUUGUAUAACAUGAUGUUUUCGUGCUUAAUUUAUAAUGAUGACCUAAUUUGAUGUUUAAUCGGCUUUUCCUGAAUCCCUUCUUAUUAUCCAACAUAUUCACUUAUCCAACGUUCUGCCGGCCUGUUUAUGAUGGAUAAGCGAGAGUCUACUGUAUAUUGAUAAUGUUAUAUUAUCUGCUUAGAAAUGGAUUAUAUGAGGCCCCUUCUACAGAACUGGAUAAAAUGCACACUGAAGUGGAUUAUAUGGCAGUGUGGAGUCAAGAUAAUCCAGUUCAAAGCAGAUAAGAUUCUAAAUGGAUUAUAUAGCUGUAUGGAAGGGCCUGGAGUCUACACGGCCAUAUAACCCAGUGCAAAUUAGAUAAUCUGUGGAAGAGGCCUAAGUGAGGCCUAACUCUGCCUGUCCCCUGGGCUGAGUAGGUUGCUAGGCGACCAAGUGGGCGGAGCUUAGCCUUCUGACUGGCAGCAAUUGGAUAAAAACAAUUAUUCCUCUCCCUGUAACUAGGACUUUUUUUUCUUUUCUUUUUGUUGUAUCAACCUAGAGGUGUGGAUGAUGGGUUGUGUUGUCAAAUUUCGAAGUUGAGGGGCCUGUAGUUUUGUUGUUUUGUCCGCUGCCCUGAUUCCAUCACUCUAGAUAUAUAUAAAUAAAUAUAUAUAAAAUAUAAAAAUUAUAUCUAUCUAUCUAUCUAUCUAUCUACAUACACAUAUUAUAUAUAUAAUAUAUAAUAUAAUAUAAAAAAUAGAAGAUAGAUAGAUUGAUGGAAGAAUGAGAGAUGACAAGGUUGUUUAAACUUAUUUCUUUUUAAAAUAAUGACUUUUUUGUUUCAAAUUACCCUUUAUAAACCACAACUACCUUUGAUAAAUUACAUUUUUCUUCAAGUUUUCGCAGCUUAUCAGCUUCUUUCUGUUUAUCAAGCUCUUCCAGCCAUUUUUUCUGUUGUUCACGUUUGACAGCACUAAAAGGAUGUUCUACUGGUGCUGGUUCCUAAAAAAGAAACAACAGGUUUAUAUCCACAAACUGUAAUUUGGUUCAAAUAUGUGGACAUUCUUAUCUGCUGGACAUGUACAGCAAGCAAGAUAAGCAAGAUGAAUUAACCUGAUUACAGCUUGCUUUAUCUUCAGCAAUUACAUUAUAGAGAUUAGAGAUUCUAUACAGGUCCUAGAGAUAAUGCACACACACAGAUUUUCAGAUGAUUGUAGAUGGGUUCUUACUCAAUUCUAACUUCAGUCCAACAUAAUGACUAUAAAAAUAUAACACUGUCGUAUUCUCAAUCACCAAUUACAUCCAAGUCAAAGGUUCAAGAGAGGAGGCAUCCUUGAUGAAAAUUUUGCAGGGAGGCCUUUUCCUUUGUGUUUUGCUAUUAACAUAAACAUAAAAAUAGAAUUUAGGCUUAGCUCUGCUUUCAGUACAAAACAAACUGUUCUGUAAUACCUGUUUUUACUUAUACUUCCCUACAUUUUAUCAAUAAUGUUUUGUCAACAUGCUCUAGAAACUGACAUUCAUUAUCUGUAAAAGAGAUGCUUUUCUCUUUAUUGACACUCUUGUGCUACAAAGUCCUUGGGGAAAACAAAUGGAAUGCAGUUCAAAAAUAAACAAUUUUCCUUUAUCACAGUUUGAUGUGUCUUGCCUCACAGCUGAUGGGGAAGAGCAGGCCCAACAGUAGAUGAACACCACCUCACUGUCUAUCAUUUUUUCUUCCCCCCCCCCGAAAAAUGUAAAAUCCACAUAUGUUUUGUAAAUCACACUGACUUAAGUCUUUGAUUAAUAUAUUCUAAAAUAUAGCAUGACCAAUAAUCUGUCCCUAUAGUAUCUCAUGCCAUUUAAUGUAAGUGGAAUAAAUGACAAUUUAUUAUACUUUAGUUGGGAUGCAAUAUGCAAGAUAGUGCAAUAUAAAUCUCCACAAGGAUACCUACUAAUUCCAUUAUCUGGGAUACAGAGGCUACUUCCUAUUUUUACAUAGCAUCGACAAAUGGCGCCUGUCCUGGUACUAUAUGAACUAAUCCUUUCAGUGCAUUAGUGUGGGACGUCAUGUAAUUGAAGCAUUUCUACCCAAUCAAACAGAGUGAAAUGGCUACAAAGACACAUAUCACAAACAGACAAAUACAUUGUCAUAAAUUUAAUAUUGAACGCACAAAACUUUUUCAUGACAAUCAGUUCUUACCCCUAACACAAAUGCUGUCCGAAUAGCAGCAGGUAAAUCAGGAGAACUGAAACUAGAAAACUGUCCUGUUUGACCACUCAAAACGCUGGGUGAUACUUCACUAGUCUCGGUGGUUACACAUCUACAAAUGUGGCUAUCUUCUGUUGUAGCACUCAGGUCAUCUGAAAAUGCCAUCUAGAAAUGAAGUAUUAUUAUUAUUAGUUCAUUUUUAUGAAUUAGAUAUCUAUCUUAGGUGUUUUUUCAAUAAUGAGACUAAAGGUGAAUUACAAAAACAAAAAUACAUUUAAAAGCAAUUAGAAAGUAAAAACUUUUAAAAGUUAUUGUUAAAAACUAUCCAUUAAAUGAAAUCCAUUAUAAAAUCUAGCCAUAAAAAUACAAAUGAUUAAAAUUAACAAAAUAGCAACACCUUUCAAAGCUCUUGUAACAAAUUUCUAAAAGUGGGAUGGAAGCUAUCCCAGGAUACAUAUACACUAUAGAAUUAGUGCAGCUUGACACCACUUUAAAUUCCAUGGCUUGAUACUAUGGAAUCAUAGGAGUUGUAGUUUUAUACAAUUCUUAGUCUCUGCCAUAUAGUACUGGUGCGUCACCAAACUAGAAAUACCAGGAUCCCAUAGCUAAAAUACUGUAGUGUCAAACUGCAUAAUUUUGCAGUGUAGAUGCAUCCCAGGAGGUUCUAAAGCCUGGUAAAAACAAUUAGGAAAGUACUCUCUUGUUUUCCCAUCAAAUUCUCCUGAGAAGACAGUGGAACAAAAAGAAGGACCCCUCCAGAAGAUAUUAGAGCUCAAGCAGACUCAUUCUGUAAGACAGUUCUCUGAAUAGCCAGUAAACAAGCUAAGCAGGAUUUUAUAAGUCAUAACCAGAGUUUUUAAUUGUGCCCAGAAAUGGACUGGCAGGUAAUUGAGCUGGGAAGAACAGGAAGGACGACGACUAGAGCGAAGAUGGCGGAAAACUCAACUUUUAUGUGACAAGACAAUAUAGAAGACAUCUUCGCUCUUAUAAAGUGGCAAUUUGCACAGGAAAGAAAGGUUCCUUCUCUGCACGUAUUGUGUCUGCAGAUUCACAUCCAGCUGAGCUGUUCAGAGUGGUGAGAGGCUUAACCCAGGUGCCCUCCCCUCUAAGCCCAUUGCUGGAACCUUUGGUAGCUCACUGUGAUGCUUUUAACAACAAUUUUAAACUUCAAUGUUAUGUCUAAUUUUUGUUUGUGUAUUUUAAUAUGUAUUGUAUGUAAAUAUGUUUUAAUAUGUAUAUUUUACAGUGUGUUUUUAAAUGGUAAUGUGUUUUGAUUGUGUGUUUUAACAAUGUUGUAACCCGCCUUGAGCCGUGAGAGGUGGGUAAGAAAUAAAAAUUAUUAUUUUCUCUUAUCCAGUCAA